AAAGUGUGGAAUAACAGUCCGAAAGGACUGCUAAUACCGCAUGUGGUUAUUGGAUUUAGAAACUGAUAACUAAAGGAGCAAUCCGCUUUGGGAGGGACCUGCGUCCCAUCAGCUAGUUGGUGAGGUAACGGCCCACCAAGGCUACGACGGGUAGGGGACCUGAGAGGGUGACCCCCCACAAUGGAACUGAAACACGGUCCAUACACCUACGGGUGGCAGCAGUAGGGAAUAUUGCACAAUGGGCGAAAGCCUGAUGCAGCAACGCCGCGUGCGCGAAGAAGGUCUUCGGAUCGUAAAGCGCUUUUCGGGGAGAUGAGGAAGGACAGUAUCCCCGGAAUAAGGCUCGGCUAACUACGUGCCAGCAGCCGCGGUAAAACGUAGGAGCCAAGCGUUAUCCGAAUUCACUGGGCGUAAAGCGCGUGCAGGCGGUCUGGUAAGUUGGAUGUGAAAUCUCCUGGCUCAACUGGGAGAGGCCGUUCAAUACUGUCAGACUAGAGGGCGACAGAGGGAGGUAGAAUUCCCGGUGUAGUGGUGAAAUGCGUAGAUAUCGGGAGGAAUACCAGAGGCGAAGGCGACCUUCUGGGUCGUACCUGACGCUCAGACGCGAAAGCUAGGGGAGCGAACGGGAUUAGAAACCCCGGUAGUCCUAGCCGUAAACGAUGUAGACUGGGUGUUGGCGGGGUAAAAGCCGUCAGUGCCGAAGCAAACGCGAUAAGUCUACCGCCUGGGGACUACGGCCGCAAGGUUAAAACUCAAAGGAAUUGACGG
rnacentral:rRNA from 1 species